CCUACGGGGGGCAGCAGUGGGGGAUAUUGCACAAUGGGGGGAACCCUGAUGCAGCGACGCCGCGUGGGUGAAGAAGCGCCUCGGCGCGUAAAGCCCUGUCAGCAGGGAAGAAAAUGACGGUACCUGAAGAAGAAGCCCCGGCUAACUACGUGCCAGCAGCCGCGGUAAUACGUAGGGGGCAAGCGUUAUCCGGAUUUACGGGGGGGAAAGGGGGCGCAGACGGGGAUGCAAGCAAGGAGUGAAAGCCCGGGGCCCAACCCCGGGACUGCUUUUGGAACUGCGUGGCUGGAGUGCAGGAGGGGCAGGCGGAAUUCGUGGUGUAGCGGUGAAAUGCGUAGAUAUCAGGAGGAACACCGGUGGCGAAGGCGGCCUGCUGGACUGCAACUGACGUUGAGGCCCGAAAGCGUGGGGAGCAAACAGGAUUAGAUACCCGAGUAGUC
rnacentral:rRNA from 1 species